UUCUCUUCUCUCGCGCGUGGCC
rnacentral:miRNA from 1 species